CAGUAGCCACGGGAAUACGGAGGGUGCAAGCGUUAAUCGGAAUUACUGGGCGUAAAGCGCACGCAGGCGGUCUGACAUGUCAGAUGUGAAAUCCCCGGGCUUAACCUGGGAACUGCAUUUGAAACUGUCAGGCUGGAGUCUUGUAGAGGGGGGUGGAAUUCCAGGUGUAGCGGUGAAAUGCGUAGAGAUCUGGAGGAAUACCGGUGGCGAAGGCGGCCCCCUGGACAAAGACUGACGCUCAGGUGCGAAAGCGUGGGGAGCAAACAGGAUUAGAUACCCGUGUAGUCCCUGUCUCUUAUAC
rnacentral:rRNA from 1 species